UGGAAGUAUAUGCCGUAACAAGCGUCUCAACGUUGCGUGAAUCCAUCGGUGUGAUCAUUUCUGAUUUCUACAACUUCUAUACCCUUUGUGAACCUUACUUCAAAGUUGCCUCGGCGAGGAACGUGCCGGCCGCCGGCCCCCGACGCCGGCGCCGGACCCAGGCGCCCGCCGCAGGGACCCCAUACUCUCUUGCUUUACUCCCAGCGGGCGGAAUUUCUUCUCUGAGUUGCUCAAGCAAAAACAAAUGAAUCAAAACUUUCAACAACGGAUCUCUUGGUUCUGGCAUCGAUGAAGAACGCUGCGAAAUGCGAUAAGUAAUGUGAAUUGCAGAAUUCAUUGAAUCAUCGAAUCUUUGAACGCACAUUGCGCCCGCCAGCAUUCUGGCGGGCAUGCCUGUUCGAUUGUCAUUUCAACCCUCGAGCCCCCCCUGGGGCCUGGGUGUUGGGGGACGGCACACCAGCCGCCCCCGAAAUGCAGUGGCUACCCCGCCGCAGCCCUCGCGUGCGUAGUCGCAGGCACUUCCGCACCGGAGCGCGGAGGCGGUCACGCCGUAAAACGCCCAACUUUUUUAGAUUUUUUACCUCGGAAUCAGUAGGAUCCCAAGGUUCCCCCUACCCACUGAAUUGUUCGUUCUGAAGGUUUCCUACAAACA
rnacentral:rRNA from 1 species